GACGCGAAGGGCAUGAGAUGUUUAUCGCUAUGAAAUCACGUUCAAGAAGUCUCAUUCAGCGCACAUCGCGAUAUUUGCCAUCAGUUUACAUGUGCCACAGGUUGGCUGAAAAGACAUGAAGGAAGCAGUCAGCCCAGUCGUGUUUGUGGAGAGGUAUUCCUUCAGAAAUGGAGAAGACAGAAAGCUGCGGAGGCAGACAUUUGCAGCAGUCUACAACAUCGAGCUCAACAGAUCUUUUAAGAGCCAACCCUCACAAACCUUGCUCUCAGCGAAUCUUGCCAUGAUCAGCCCUUUCCAGAAGAGAAGAUCAAGGAAAUUAUUUGUUCAGGAUGAGGAAUGAAGACGGCCAUCUUUUGCCCAAACGAAGACAGAAAGCUGUCCACUGAUGAUCUCAUCAGCCAAAUGAGGGGUUUUGACCAAGUGAUGGUCUUGAAAGGAAUGAAAGAAGAGGAUGUGGUAAAUUGUCUUCAAAGAAAAAGCUUCUCAAAAGGUCUUAAAACAGCUUGAAGAAUGGUCUGGGAACUGUCUGAAAAUGGGAUGUUAGGACUGAGAGAUCCUCUGGCUGAGAAAAAGCUACACCAGAUCAGUGCUGGAUAUCAACCACAAACUGUUUACAGACACGAGAGAAGAAGAUCAUGAUGGGGAAAUGAAACCAGUUUAGAUGUGAUGAUAAGGAAUCAUUAUUUUCUGAAACAGUAUCACAUGUCUUAUAUGUAUCACAUGAUCUGUAUCACAGUUGCCUGGAUGGGAUUGUGUGACUUUUAAGGACAUUUCAUUACUCAUCUGUGUGAACUGAUUAAUUUAUGAUAUUAAUGAAUUUUUGAUGAUCCAUUAUUAUUUUCCUUGAAUCUUAUUUGUCUUGAUGCUACUUUAUCAACUUUAUAGUCUAUGCUUCAAUAAAAUUAAUAUGAUGAAUAUUGUGUAUUGAAAAUUCUUGGUAAAUACAUAAUUUUACUAGGUGGUCUCAUAUGUGUUUAUUUUAUACUUGGAAAAACUACGUUAUUAAUUACCGGAAUUAUUUUUUACUUAAGACAUAAACAUUUUUGAUCAGAUUAAUGACAUCUGGAACAACAAUACACCAGAAAGUUAUUAUUGUAUAUAUUUAGUAACAAAUAUGCCAUUUUUUGGUGAAAUAAAGGGAGUUACAAGAUGAAUUAUUUUGCAUUAAAAGAUGGUGCCAUUUGCUUUAUUGUUACAAACACUUGAGGGAUAACUGA